GGUUGACCUCGGAUCAGGUAGGGAUACCCGCUGAACUUAAGCAUAUCAAUAAGCGGAGGAAAAGAAACCAACAGGGAUUGCCUUAGUAACGGCGAGUGAAGCGGCAACAGCUCAAAUUUGAAAGCUGGCUCCUUCGGAGUCCGCGUUGUAAUUUGUAGAGGAUGAUUCGGCGAGGGCUCCCGCCUAAGUCCCCUGGAACGGGGCGUCAUAGAGGGUGAGAAUCCCGUAUGCGGUGGGUUGCCUUAGCCAUGUGAAUCUCCUUCGACGAGUCGAGUUGUUUGGGAAUGCAGCUCUAAAUGGGAGGUAAAUUUCUUCUAAAGCUAAAUACCGGCCAGAGACCGAUAGCGCACAAGUAGAGUGAUCGAAAGAUGAAAAGCACUUUGGAAAGAGAGUUAAAAAGUACGUGAAAUUGUUGAAAGGGAAGCGCUUGCAGCCAGACUUGUCCGCAGUUGCUCAACCGGUCUCCUGACCGGUGUACUCUUCUGCGGCCAGGCCAGCAUCAGUUCGGGCGGUCGGAUAAAGGCCCUGGGAAUGUAGCUCCUCUCGGGGAGUGUUAUAGCCCAGGGUGGAAUGCGGCCAGCCUGGACUGAGGAUCUCGCUUCGGCUAGGAUGCUGGCGUAAUGGCUGUAAGCGGCCCGUCUUGAAACACGGACC
rnacentral:rRNA from 1 species